UACGGAGGGUGCGAGCGUUGUCCGGAAUCACUGGGCGUAAAGGGCGCGUAGGCGGCUCAUGAAGGCUGUGGUGAAAGUCCGGGGCUCAACCUCGGAUCGGCCGUGGCGACUCGUGGGCUGGAGCACUGUAGAGGCGGGUGGAAUUCCGGGUGUAGCGGUGGAAUGCGUAGAGAUCCGGAGGAACACCGAUGGCGAAGGCAAUCCCCUGGGCCUGCACUGACGCUCAUGCACGAAAGCGUGGGGAGCAAACAGG
rnacentral:rRNA from 1 species